rnacentral:rRNA from 1 species
AUUGAACGCUGGCGGCAGGCCUAACACAUGCAAGUCGAGCGGAUGAAGGGAGCUUGCUCCUGGAGUCAGCGUCGGACGGGUGAGUAAUGCCUAUGAAUCUGCCUGGUAGUGGGGUAUAACGUCCUGAAACGGGCGCUAAUACCGCAUACGUCCUGAGGGAGAAAGUGGGGGAUCGUCGGACCUCACGCUAUCAGAUGAGCCUAGGUCGGAUUAGCUAGUUGGUGGGGUAAAGGCCUACCAAGGCGACGAUCCGUAACUGGUCUGAGAGGAUGAUCAGUCACACUGGAACUGAGACACGGUCAAGACUCCUACGGGAGGCAGCAGUGGGGAAUAUUGGACAAUGGGCGAAAGCCUGAUCCAGUCAUGCCGAGUGUGUGAAGAAGGUCUUCGGAUUGUAAAGCACUUUAAGUUGGGAGGAAGGGCAGUAAGUUAAUGCCUUGCUGUUUUGACGUUACCAACAGAAUAAGCACCGGCUAACUUCGUG